rnacentral:misc_RNA from 1 species
CCUUGGCGAUUCUAUCCGCAGGAUACAAGGGUCUGUGACCACUUCCGGAGGAAGGAGGCAGAGGCGCUUUAUAGGUGCCAUUAUCGGCAGCGUAGCUCUCGGGGUUGCAACAGCUGCACAGAUUACAGCAGCUGCGGCCUUGAUACAGGCCAACCAGAAUGCUGCUAACAUCCUCCGGCUUAAGGAGAGCAUUGCUGCGACUAAUGAAGCUGUACAUGAGGUCACUGACGGAUUAUCCCAACUAGCAGUGGCAGUCGAGCCUGUACAAUCUUGCGCUUAACGUCACUAUUGAUGUGGAGGUGGACCCGAAGAGUCCGUUGAUCAAAUCCCUUUCAAAGUCCGACAGUGGAUACUACGCUAAUCUUUUCUUGCAUAUCGGACUUAUGUCUACUGUAGACAAGAAGGGGAAGAAAGUGACAUUCGACAAGAUAGAGGGGAAGAUAAGAAGGCUUAAUCUUUCUGUUGGGCUCAGUGAUGUGCUCGGAC